rnacentral:lncRNA from 1 species
AAAUUUUGGGUUUUAUAAAUGUUUUUCAUUUUCUUUUUUCUCUCUUUUAAAAUUAAUUUUAUUUUUUUAGUAACAAAGGAAAUACUUGGGUUUUUUUGAUGAAUUACUUGGGUUGUUUUGGGUAAACUUGAGUGUUUACAAAGAAUUGAGUUCCAAAGAAAAAUUUAGGUUUCAUCUUCGCAAUUGAAUAACUCAAUUUCCUGUAAAAAUUCAAGGCAUUUUAAAAAAAAUAAAAUUAAUUUUAAAAAGAAAAUG